rnacentral:rRNA from 1 species
GAUGAACGCUGGCGGCGUGCCUAAUACAUGCAAGUCGAGCGAAGCGGGGACGGGUGAGUAAAACGUGGAUAACCUCCUAUAAGACUGGGAUAACUUCGGGGAACCGGAGCUAAACCGGAUAAUUAUCGAUGGAUCCGUGCUGAAUUAGCUAGUUGGUAAGGUAACGGCUUACCAAGGCAACGAUGCAUAGCCGACCUGAGAGGGGGAUCGGCCACACUGGAACUGAGAAACGGGCCAGACUCCUACGGGAGGCAGCAGUAGGGAAUCUUCCGCAAUGGGCGAAAGCCUGACGGAGCAACGCCGCGUGAGUGAUGAAGGUCUUCGGAUCGUAAAACUCUGUUAUUAGGGAAGCGGUACCUAAUCAGAAAGCCACGGCUAACUACGUGCCAGCAGCCGCGGUAAUUC